ACUUUUAAAGGAAACUAGAAACCCAUUAGCCUUAGGAGUUAACACUCUUGGUGCAAAUCCAAGUAAAAGUA
rnacentral:tRNA from 1 species